rnacentral:lncRNA from 1 species
GGCGGACACGGUCGGGUCUUGUUCCUCCACCCUCACUCUCAUUUUUGCAUCCAAUCUUCCACUAACUCCAACACCAACAUCAAGCGCUGCACUCAGAGUUGAAUCGCGUCUCCUUCUCCUAAAGUCCAAAGGAGAUCUCACAUUUUGGAAGAAACAAAGGGACGAUCUAAUUUUGUGCGUGGUCAUUUUACUCAACUCUCAGUAGCGUGGCCAUGGCUCCAAGGCUGCUGUACAGCGUGCUCUUUUGAUUAUUGUACCUUCUGUGAUUGGAUUCUUGGCUGCUCAUUGCAUACGGGACGGUGAUGGAGGGCAUGGCUGCCCCGGUUGGGAUACAGGGUUUGGGCCUACACCGAAACUUGUGUGCACCUCCUGGUUUCACAUUUCUGCACCCUUUUUUCUUAUCGUGCUUUUGUUAUCGUUAUUUCAUUCCCUUAUUUCUUUUUUAUUCGGUUGAUUUUUGUGUUGUUUUUUUUUUUAUUUUGGGUAUCGCUUGUAUGAUAAUUCCCAUCCCCUUAAAUUUUGGUUUUAUUUAUUAGUUGGAUUUUGUUUGUUUAUUGCGCCCUAAUUUUUUAUAAAAAAAAAAACUAUAAAACAAAACAUAAAAAAUAAAAAUGAUAAAAUAACAUAAAAAUAUAAAAUAUUAAAAUUACAAAAAUAAUUUCAGUAUUUAGCAUCUUUCAUUGUUUA